rnacentral:rRNA from 1 species
GUGCCAGCCGCCGCGGUAAUACGGAGGGUGCAAGCGUUAUCCGGAAUCAUUGGGUUUAAAGGGUCCGUAGGCGGAUUGAUAAGUCAGAGGUGAAAUCCCGCAGCUUAACUGUGGAACUGCCUUUGAUACUGUCAGUCUUGAGUUAUGUGGAAGUAGAUAGAAUGUGUAGUGUAGCGGUGAAAUGCUUAGAGAUUACACAGAAUACCGAUUGCGAAGGCAGUCCACUACGUAUAUACCGACGCUAAUGGACGAAAGCGUGGGGAGCGAACAGGAUUAGAUACUCUGGUAGUCCACGCCGUAAACGAUGGACACUAGUUGUUGGGGUAACUCAGUGACUAAGCGAAAGUGAUAAGUGUCCCACCUGGGGAGUACGAUCGCAAGAUUGAAACUCAAAUAAAUUGGCGG